rnacentral:rRNA from 1 species
UACAGAGGUCUCAAGCGUUGUUCGGAUUCAUUGGGCGUAAAGGGUGUGUAGGUGGCGCCGUUAGUCGGGUGUGAAAUUUCGGAGCUUAACUCCGAAACUGCAUUCGAUACUGCGGUGCUUGAGGACUGGAGAGGAGACUGGAAUUCAUGGUGUAGCAGUGAAAUGCGUAGAGAUCAUGAGGAAGACCAGUGGCGAAGGCGGGUCUCUGGACAGUUCCUGACACUAAGACACGAAGGCCAGGGGAGCAAACGGG